GUGAGUACAGGCACACGUGUACUGAUGUGGUGCUGGGAGUGUGGGUAGAAUAGGCGGUUGUUCUGGAUGAUGGAUACGGUUUUUCUCAGCUCUUAAAAAUGUAUUAUUUCAAAAUCAAACUUUUCAUCAUAAUCUUGUCUUUAGCUCUUUCCUAUUCUUCAUCUUGCAGAUCUAGAUAGUCAUUAGGCUCUGUUGAUUUCACCUACUGAGUGGGUCUUGUCUGUAAUGCCCAUCUGGCUCCUUCAGCUCAGUGCGAUGGAAGGGCUCUGCUCUGUAGCGACUAGAAUUUAAAGCUAGCUGGAAUUUAUCAGGCAUUUGAUGGCUACCUGUUUAGGGGCCCUACCAGGGAAGUAUUCCAAUAAAAUUGGGAUAAUAAUAUGCUUACCCCAUAGGCCCAUUUAGAGAAUUAAGAUAAAUAUCAGGUGCUAAGCGCUCAGCAUUUCCCUGGCACAUAGGAGGUUGAGCUGUUGGUAUCUUCAUCCACCAUCACUGCUGUACUUCAUGGUGAGCUUUCUAUAGAGCAGGUCUCUGCUUUAGAACCUCUGACUCUGCCAGCUACCUGGAUCAAAUUUGAACUUUUCACCUGUUAAACCAAGGCUUUCACGAUCUGGCCCCAAACUCCCUUUUUUGCCCCAUGUCCCAGCACUUCUCUUUCAUGUUCCUUCUAUUUCAGACACAGAACUAGCCCUUCUUCAACCUAUAUCCUUUCUUUUCAGUUCCACGAUUUUACGGAAGAUAUCUUGUCACUAAGCCUGGCAAAAUCCUGCCCAUUCUUUAAGAUUUAAUAUAUAUCACGUUUUCCUGCGGUACUUCCUGGACUUCCCUUCGGACGCCUCUGGUCCCCAGUCUGGCUCCUUCUUAGGCCUGUCCCGUAAUUCUAAGCUUGUCUGGCUGUCCUUCCACUAUGAGCUCUUUGGGAGCAGGAUCUCUGUUUGGUUCCAUUCUUUUUGGUGCCUUGAACAGUACCUGGCACCAAUAAACACCUUAAGGAAUGACCACAUUCCUUAUUCCCUCCUUUGUAUCCACCUCUUUCCUAGCCCUUAGUGUUGCACAUUGUUGAUGGCCU
rnacentral:lncRNA from 1 species